rnacentral:rRNA from 1 species
AGAGUUUGAUCAUGGCUCAGAACGAACGCUGGCGGCAGGCCUAACACAUGCAAGUCGAACGCACCUUCGGGUGAGUGGCAGACGGGUGAGUAACGCGUGGGAACGUGCCUUUCGGUUCGGAAUAACCCAGGGAAACUUGGGCUAAUACCGGAUACGCCCUCAGGGGGAAAGAUUUAUCGCCGAAAGAUCGGCCCGCGUCGGAUUAGCUUGUUGGUGGGGUAAUGGCCUACCAAGGCUACGAUCCGUAGCUGGUCUGAGAGGAUGAUCAGCCACACUGGGACUGAGACACGGCCCAGACUCCUACGGGAGGCAGCAGUGGGGAAUAUUGGACAAUGGGCGCAAGCCUGAUCCAGCCAUGCCGCGUGGGUGAAGAAGGCCUUAGGGUUGUAAAUCCCUUUCAGCGGGGAAGAUAAUGACGGUACCCGCAGAAGAAGCCCCGGCUAACUCCGUGCCAGCAGCCGCGGUAAUACGGAGGGGGCUAGCGUUGUUCGGAAUUACUGGGCGUAAAGCGUAUGCAGGCGGAUCGUUAAGUUGGGGGUGAAAUCCCGAGGCUCAACCUCGGAACUGCCUCCGAUACUGGCGAUCUUGAGUCCGGGAGAGGUGAGUGGAACUGCGAGUGUAGAGGUGAAAUUCGUAGAUAUUCGCAAGAACACCAGUGGCGAAGGCGGCUCACUGGCCCGGUACUGACGCUGAGAUACGAAAGCGUGGGGAGCAAACAGGAUUAGAUACCCUAGUAGUCC